CCCACACAAGCGUGAAGUCGUUGUUUGUUUUUUCGCGUGGUUUUCGAAGGUGCAAUCGAAAUCCCUCUCCUCUCUCCAAACAGAUCCAAAUCUCAUAUUUUCACCUCCGAAAAUCCACCAAGAUUUUGUUUCUCUUUCACUGCUGCUUAAUCGCGGAAGGGUUUGGGAGUUCAUGGAGGGGGUCGGAGGCGAUGGUCCCUCAGGAGCAGCUGCAGCACUCGACCAACGGAGGCAUGAGUUGUCAAAACUUUUCCAAUAUUAUCUAGAUAAAUCUACUCCACAUGCUCAUUAUCGUUGGAUUGGAACUUUUGGUUUGGUGCUUCUUUAUGCUCUGCGGGUUUAUUAUGUUCAAGGAUUCUACAUUGUCACCUAUGGUUUGGGGAUCUACCUUCUCAAUUUGCUCAUCGGGUUCUUGUCGCCUCUUGUUGACCCGGAGCUGGAACCGACUGAAGGACCUUCCCUGCCCACAAAGGGUUCUGAUGAGUUCAAGCCUUUCAUUCGCCGUCUCCCUGAGUUCAAAUUCUGGUAUGCCAUCACAAAGGCUUUCUGCGUAGCUUUUGUGAUGACCUUCUUUUCCAUGUUCGACGUCCCAGUAUUUUGGCCUAUACUGUUAUGUUAUUGGCUCGUUCUUCUUUUCCUAACAAUGAAGCGUCAGAUCAUGCACAUGGUCAAGUACAGAUACAUUCCCUUUAAUUUGGGAAAACAGGUUAGCUCGCUCAUUCAAACUGUAUAAUGUCUCGUAUUUUUGUCACUCCAGUACUAGGGACCAUCUACGCGUGUGAGUGAGUGAGGUGUUGUUGAGACAGAAUAUCCUCAUUUUCCUUACCAGCUUACUAUUGAUCACAACUAUUUCUCUUAAUAUCGCUUAUACGUGGGUUUGUUCUUAUUUUGUAACAGAAAUAUGGAAAGAAAAAACCCUCUUCGAGCGCCAGCAGCCCGCGAGACUGAACUUGAGUUGGUAUGUGAUUUGAUUUAGAAUCUGAGAUUGGGAGUUUGUGGAAAGGUGGAAUUGAUUAUGUAUUUACUUGUGUUAGUUUCAGCGAUUUGUGCUCACGUUGCCCACUUGAAAAAAUACGGAUUUAUUAGCAUAUGCUUCAGUUGUUCCAAACCCUAUCUUCAGUUUCAAGAUCUAAUGUCGAAUUGAUGCCAAAA